UUUAAAUAGCUGCAGUAUUUUAACUGUACUAAGGUAGCAUAAUAAUUAGUCUUUUAAUUGGGGUCUAGAAUGAAAGGUUUAACAAGAAAAAAUCUUUAUUAAUUUAAUUAAGUGAAUUUUAUUUUUUAGUUAAAAAGCUAAAAUUUUAAAAUGGGACGAUAAGACCCUAUAGAUCUUAAAAUUUUUAUUUCAUAAAUUUAUUUCGGUUAAUUUAAGUUUUAAGAAUAUAAAUUUUUUGUUGGGGUGACAGAUAAAUUUUUAAAACUUUAAGGCUUUUUUACAUAGAUAAAUGAAUUUUAUGAACUUGAAUUUGGGUUUGUUAAAAUAAGAUACCUUAGGGAUAACAGCGUAAUAAAUUUGUAUAGUUCAUAUAGAUAAAUUUGUUUACGACCUCGAUGUUGAAUUAAUCUGAAGUUUUGGGGCAGAAAUUAAAAUUUUUGGUCUGUUCGACCUUAAAAAGAUUACG
rnacentral:rRNA from 1 species